rnacentral:rRNA from 1 species
UACAGAGGUCCCAAGCGUUGUUCGGAUUCACUGGGCGUAAAGGGUGCGUAGGCGGUCGGGUAAGUCUGAUGUGAAAUCUCACAGCUUAACUGUGAAACUGCAUUGGAUACUAUCCGGCUCGAGGAAUGGAGGGGAGACUGGAAUACUUGGUGUAGCAGUGAAAUGUGUAGAUAUCAAGUGGAACACCAGUGGCGAAGGCGAGUCUCUGGACAUUUCCUGACGCUGAGGCACGAAAGCCAGGGGAGCAAACGGG